AUAUAUAUUUUUUAUUUUAUUCUGGACAAUAAAGCUGUUUUUAGUGAAUAUUAGAACUAAAAAUGUACAACAAAACUAAUUGAUGAAAUUUCUCUUUCAAGAAAUAAACUUUAGGGAGGUCAAAAAUAAAACAGUCUGGUUUUACUUUAUGAAAAAUAGGCAUGAAUGUCACAUGUUCCAAGUAUUUCAGCUGCUUAUUGUCUGACUGUUUCAUUUGAAAUGUUACGCGGAGUCGAGGGAUUAUUUCAGCCAGUUCUGCAGCUCCGCCUGGAACCAAACUCUCGGUUUGGGCAGAAAUGGAGAAAACCGAUUUGGUGAGCUUCAGAGGAAUGCACUGUGCUCUGAAUGUUAUCAGUCUGGCUCAGUUAGAGGAAGCAGAAACCUGCAGGUGUUUGUUUUGCUUGAUAUCAUCCAAAAAAAAAACAAAAAAACUUGAAAAGAAUCUGAAAUAUUUUAGUGAUUAGGCUGCUGACUUCUAAUAAACAAGCUAAAGUUCAUGAAUAAACGUUUUUACUGAAGUGAUUCAGAAGUAGAGCAAGGCCAGCUUCUCUCUGUGUGACUCCCGGGUCUGGGUCGAUACCGUUCUUCCUGUCCAGCUUCUCAGGGUCACAAAAACCUAAAAACACGAGAUUUUACUUCUAAUCCCUCAUCUUUGCUUUACGUUUUUAGGUUUUAACAUGAAAAAACCAUGUCGGAAGAACGCUGAUCCUUUUCUAUGCUCAGAUGCUUUAGGUCAUUAUUCAGCCUAAAGGCUCAACAGGAACCCACUAGAUUUUUAUUUUAAAUAGUGUUGUUUUAGACUUUAAAAUGUUUCCAGGGGCUUUAGAAGAGAAACAUGCCAACAUGCAAGGAGCAUCUGAAGGUAGUCAUGAAGACUUUGUGCUGUAAAAACAAUAAUUUUGUAAUUUCUCAUUCGUUUCCUCUGUUCAAAGAAAAAAUUGGGUUAAAUUAGAGCUUAUCGAGAAAAGAAAAAAGCAUUGUGUUAGCCAGAACAGCUGCUUGUAUUUAAUUUAAUGUUGCUCUGUUCUUUUUGAAAGAUUACUAAAUGAGUAAAUCUUUACGUCAUUUGGAAAUAAACUCAGCACAAAGAAGAAGAGCAAAGAAAAUGUGUGUGUGUGUGUGUAAGAGUCAAAGGGAUACAGAAGUCGUACUCUCAAGAAAUUUGAGCAGAGAAGAUAUAUUUUAAAUUUCAAGAAAAAAAAUGAAGAAAAAAUACAUUUGCUAAUUCUUACCCCAGGGCUCUUUGUGUCAAAUUAAAUAAACUUUUUUUUCUCCUACGGUUGGAAAAGUACAUUUUUACCACAGUGUGUCCAGAGCUGUCGCCUUCCCACUCUUCAGCUACCGCAAACCUUUUAUUUUAGUACAGUCUUUACAGUAUUGACACUUUUCGCCUGCACUUUCCUGUACAGUUCAAGACAAUACAAAGGGUAUAGGUCAAAGGUCAGAUGGACACGGCCAUGUCCCAGGAUUGCGGGGACUCGUUAAAGCGAGGCCCCAGCAGCAGGGUGUUGGAUCAAACUGCAGGACUAUUCGAGUAAAAAAAAGAAAAAAAAAACAAAAAACAAAACAUUGGCUUACAAGGGCACUGCAAAUCUACAUAAGCCAUAAAAGCCAUGCCACAUUUACGCCCGACUGGGGCUAAUUCUCUCUUAAAGGGACAUGCGCACAGUUUACAAACAGAGGAGGCAAAAAGACUUCUGGGAAAGCAGCAGGGCUGGGAAAGUCUUCAUAAACUGCACCCACUAAUAAUAUCUGUUUGUAAGUGACUUUUGCUAAC